ACAACAGUAUUGGAGGCACACUGAAUAAAGCUUUCAACUACUGACAGCAUCUGAAGAACAUCAGGAAAAUGAUGAAAGCCUAGAAACCCAUGGCCUAUGUGGCUCCAUAGGCAGCUCUGGCCACUACUCAGAGAUCCGGUAAUAUUCAAGGAUUCCAGUGAUAUUCCAGCAUGAAGCUGUGCCUUGGUGUCUUCGGCUGGGACUAGAAUUGAAGAGAUCACUGUUCCUGGGCAUAUGCAAGCAAACUGUUCACAUCACCAGGCAUCACUGGAAGUCUGAACAGCACACUGAAUUUCCAGCUUUAUGGCUU
rnacentral:lncRNA from 1 species